rnacentral:rRNA from 1 species
GAGUGAUCGAAAGAUGAAAAGCACUUUGAAAAGAGAGUUAAAAAGUACGUGAAAUUGUUGAAAGGGAAGCGUUUAUGACCAGACUUGGGCUUGGUUAAUCAUCUGGGGUUCUCCCCAGUGCACUUUUCCAGUCCAGGCCAGCAUCAGUUUUCCCCGGGGGAUAAAGGCGGCGGGAAUGUGGCUCUCUUCGGGGAGUGUUAUAGCCCGCCGUGUAAUACCCUGGGGGGGACUGAGGUUCGCGCAUCUGCAAGGAU